AUUGAACGCUGGCGGCAGGCUUAACACAUGCAAGUCGAGCGGAGAUGAGGUGCUUGCACCUUAUCUUAGCGGCGGACGGGUGAGUAAUGCUUAGGAAUCUGCCUAUUAGUGGGGGACGACAUUCCGAAAGGAAUGCUAAUACCGCAUACGCCCUACGGGGGAAAGCAGGAGAUCUUCGGACCUUGCGCUAAUAGAUGAGCCUAAGUCGGAUUAGCUAGUUGGUGGGGUAAAGGCCUACCAAGGCGACGAUCUGUAGCGGGUCUGAGAGGAUGAUCCGCCACACUGGGACUGAGACACGGCCCAGACUCCUACGGGAGGCAGCAGUGGGGAAUAUUGGACAAUGGGCGGAAGCCUGAUCCAGCCAUGCCGCGUGUGUGAAGAAGGCCUUUUGGUUGUAAAGCACUUUAAGCGAGGAGGAGGCUACCUGGAUUAAUACUCUAGGAUAGUGGACGUUACUCGCAGAAUAAGCACCGGCUAACUCUGUGCCAGCCGCCGCGGUAAAAC
rnacentral:rRNA from 1 species